ACGGAAGCCCGGUGAGGCCUAGGUCGAUCCGGAAGAGAAGGUUCGAUCUCCCGAUCCGGGCCCCUAGCACGGUUCUCGGCACCCACGCGGAGUCAUAGCCGCGAUAAUGGCAGAAGUGUUGCGGGCCUGCGUAAUUGCGAAGAGCGGAUGGUCACGACGGCCCUUUGGGUGGGGCUGCAGCCGGAAGUGUCGCAAAAUCGCCGAGGCCACCCACGCAGCCCAAAGAUGCACGCUUGGUACCCGAGUUCCGUGUUAGCGGGCGGCGGACCGAAUCGUUCGGAACGCCGCCCGCUUUACAUG
rnacentral:ncRNA from 1 species